ensembl:miRNA mdo-mir-150 mdo-mir-150
UCUCCCAACCCUUGUACCAGAGUCCAUCAGAGACCCGGUACGGGCUGUGGGGGACGGGGAGUCGGGGCU